AUCUUCUGAAUACGCCGCAAGGCAAAACAAAUGAAUCAAAACUUUCAACAACGGAUCUCUUGGCUCUGGCAUCGAUGAAGAACGCAGCGAAACGCGAUAAGUAAUGUGAAUUGCAGAAUCCAGUGAAUCAUCGAAUCUUUGAACGCACAUUGCGCCCG
rnacentral:rRNA from 1 species